AUACGUAGGGUGCAAGCGUUGUCCGGAAUUAUUGGGCGUAAAGAGCUCGUAGGCGGUUUGUCGCGUCUGCUGUGAAAAACUGGAGGCUCAACCUCCAGCCUGCAGUGGGUACGGGCAGACUAGAGUGCGGUAGGGGAGAUUGGAAUUCCUGGUGUAGCGGUGGAAUGCGCAGAUAUCAGGAGGAACACCGAUGGCGAAGGCAGAUCUCUGGGCCGUAACUGACGCUGAGGAGCGAAAGCAGUGGGGA
rnacentral:rRNA from 1 species